GACGAACGGCUGGCGGCGUGCCUAACACAUGCAAGUCGAGCGGAGUCGAUCGACGGAAGCCUUCGGGCGGAAGAUGGUUGACUUAGCGGCGGACGGGUGAGUAACGCGUGAAGCAACCUGCCUUUCACAAAGGGAUAGCCUCGGGAAACUGGGAUUAAUACCAUAUGAAACUUAACUUUCGCAUGAAAGAUAAGUCAAAGCGAAUAAGCGGUGAAAGAUGGGCUCGCGUCCUAUUAGCUAGUUGGUGAGGUAACGGCUCACCAAGGCGACGAUAGGUAGCCGGCCUGAGAGGGUGAACGGCCACACUGGAACUGAGACACGGUCCAGACUCCUACGGGAGGCAGCAGUGGGGGAUAUUGCACAAUGGAGGAAACUCUGAUGCAGCGACGCCGCGUGAGUGAAGAAGGCCUUCGGGUCGUAAAGCUCUGUCCUAGGGGAAGAUAAUGACGGUACCCUAGGAGGAAGCCCCGGCUAACUACGUG
rnacentral:rRNA from 1 species